rnacentral:rRNA from 1 species
AUUGAACGCUGGCGGCAUGCUUUACACAUGCAAGUCGAACGGUAACACGCCUUCGUUUGCUGACGAGUGGCGGACGGGUGAGUAAUGCAUCGGAACGUGCCCAGAGGUUGGGGAUAACGCAGCGAAAGCUGUGCUAAUACCGCAUGUGAUCUGAGGAUGUAAUCGGGGGACCAAGCAGCAAUGUUUGGCCUCUCGCCUCUGGACCGGCCGCUGUCGGACUAGGUAGUUGGGGGGGUAAAGACCUACCAAGCCGACGAUCUGUAGCUGGUCUGAGAGGACGGCCGGCCACACUGGAACUGAGACACGGACCAGACUCCUACGGGAGGCAGCAGUGGGGAACUUUAGACAAUGGGCGCAAGCCUGACCCAGCAAUGCCGCGUGCGGGACGAAGGCCUUCGGGUUGUAAACAGCUUUUGUACGGAACGAAAAGGUUCUGGCUAAUACCUGGGGCUGAUGACGGUAACGGAAGAAGAAGCACCGGCUAACUACGUG